CUCUACCUUUCCUGGAUUUGUUACAUUGCAUAUGCUGGUGGCAUCUGGGUGUAUCCAGUAUUUGAAGUUCUGGACUUUACUGGAAGAACACUUUUCUUAGCUGCUCUUCUUUUACCAAAUCUUCUUUUUGUUUUCUUGGGUCAGAAGCUUCACCACAGGGUAUGGGGUUCUCCAAAAGAGCAGACAAAAAGAAAGGGGAAGAAAGAGUGAGAGCAAUAGUAGUGCAGCUGACAGAAGAUACUUUGCUACAAAUAUUUUUCACAGAAAUUUCAUGUUAUCUGAAUUCAAAGCAAAAUGUUUACAACACUCAUUAUGCUUUAUUACAUUGUGCAAAACUGUAUGAACUAAGGCAUUGGUCAGACAAGUUGUAACCAUUAAACAUCAAGAUUUAUAUAUGCAAAUACACAAAAUAUAGUAAUUGCACAAUAGUCACUGGUAUGGUAUGAAUUGUAUAUUUUGGUCUCAUAUUAUGGUACUCUUCAACAGACUGAAGGGUAAAACUAGGUUUGCAUGUGUUUCUUGGUAUAUAUGUAUAUGCUAAAAGUUUAUUUUAAUCCAUAGUUUAGGAAUUAAAAUAUUUAAUGACCCUCGUGUAGUAGACAGGCUGUAAGCCUAAUAUGACCCUGGUGGGGUUAGUGCUUAGUUUUGAUUAUAAUAAUCUAAGCCUAAUAAUUAUCUUCAGUAUUAAUAUAUAUUCAUUUGGAAGUGCUUAACCAGUAGGGAUCAUACAGCUCCUAAGGAAUAGGAGGUAGUCAGGUUUGAUCCAAGGAAGUGGAAGGUAACUCAAAUUCCUUGGGUCAAGAUUCCUUCACUGGCAUCAAAGCACCUUUAAAGGGAUAAUCUUCAAAAGACUGUUGAAGAGGGUUUCAAUAUAAGUCUGAAAUGUAAAAUAUUUACCUGCUGUUGUAUUUUCUCCACAAGUUUGUUUAUAUGUUAAAAGAUUUAUAUGUUCUGGCAGUUAGGAAGACUAAAAUCUUUAUGAAUGGAUAUUGUGUACAUACAUGAAUAGUAAUAAUGCGUUAUAGUUUCUAUGCUGAUUUGUAUUUGUGGUGUAAGCAGGUGUAUUUAUUUACAAAUAAACAUGUGAAUAAAGUGACUA